rnacentral:rRNA from 1 species
GUACUGACCCUACGGGGGGCAGCAGUGGGGAAUAUUGCACAAUGGGCGAAAGCCUGAUGCAGCGACGCCGCGUGGGGGAUGAAGGCCUUCGGGUUGUAAACCCCUUUCAGCAGGGAAGAAGCGAAAGUGACGGUACCUGCAGAAGAAGCGCCGGCUAACUACGUGCCAGCAGCCGCGGUAAUACGUAGGGCGCAAGCGUUGUCCGGAAUUAUUGGGCGUAAAGAGCUCGUAGGCGGUCUGUCGCGUCUGCUGUGAAAA